UACGUAGGGUCCGAGCGUUGUCCGGAAUUAUUGGGCGUAAAGGGCUCGUAGGCGGUUCGUCACGUCGGGAGUGAAAACUCGAGGCUUAACCUCGAGAUGUCAUCGGAAACCAUCUGGCUAGAGUCCGGAAGAGGAGAGUGGAAUUCCUGGUGUAGCGGUGAAAUGCGCAGAUAUCAGGAAGAACACCAAUGGCGAAAGCAGCUCUCUGGGACGGUACUGACGCUGAGACGCGAAAGCGUGGGGAGCGAACAGG
rnacentral:rRNA from 1 species